rnacentral:snRNA from 1 species
GUGCCCACUUCAGCAGCACAUAUACUAAAAUUGGAAUGAUACAGAGAUUAGCAUGGCCUCUACGCAAGGAUGACCUGCAAAUUCAAGAAGAAUUCCAUAUUUUU